rnacentral:rRNA from 1 species
UACGUAGGUGGCAAGCGUUGUCCGGAUUUACUGGGCGUAAAGCGAACGCAGGCGGACCUUUAAGUAGGAAGUGAAAGGUUGGAGCUCAACUCUAACACUGCUCCCUAUACUGGAGGUCUUGAGUGCCGGAGAGGAAGACGGAACUGCAGGUGUAGCGGUGAAAUGCGUUGAUAUCUGCAGGAACACCAAUGGCGAAAGCAGUCUUCUGGACGGAUACUGACGCUCAGGUUCGAAAGCCAAGGUAGCAAACAGG